GGUUGUAGAGAGUUCAAGUGUUAGACUGAUUGUGGGUUAGUUGAGUGGGCUUG
rnacentral:tRNA from 1 species